rnacentral:lncRNA from 1 species
GGGCCGGCUUGGGGCUUGGUUCUAUGUCCCUGCGGGUCGGUGCGAGGGCGAAGAGGAACCCGUGGGCCUCGGGGGAUCCCGGGGGGCCGGACCAGUGUCCCCUAGUUGUGGGAGCAGACGCGUGGGCGCAUCGCGGGCGGGCAGGGCCUGAAGUGCAGAAGUUUAUACGAGACCUAGUUUCCAAGGAAGAACUCACUGAUUCCGCGAGGGAGAAGGCAUAAUGGAUGAUGGUCUUCAGCCUUAAGGGUACUUCAGUCUUAACUGUGUGUUACAAAGUUUGAAAGAGAGGGUUCCCUAUGAAUAAGAAGCGCACUUGAAAGAACAGCUGUCUGGUCUAACCUCUCACUGGUGCUUCAGAGGAGGAAAACAGGUCACAGCUAUGUUUCCAGUGUCCUCUGGGUGUUUCCAAGAGCAACAGGAAACGAAUAAAUCUCUGCUUAUCCAAAUGUUCCGUUGGUCCCUGUUCAUCCCGCCCUGCAGUUCUCCUUGACUGAUUCAGCCCUUUGUGGUUUGCAGUCCUGUUUCUCUACAGCUUGGACCCCUUCAGUCUUUC